rnacentral:rRNA from 1 species
UACGGAGGAUUCAAGCGUUAUCCGGAAUGAUUGGGCGUAAAGCGUCCGCAGGUGGCUGUGUAAGUCUGCUGUCAAAGAGCGAAGCUCAACUUCGUAAAGGCAGUGGAAACUACACGGCUAGAGUGCGUUCGGGGCAGAGGGAAUUCCUGGUGUAGCGGUGAAAUGCGUAGAGAUCAGGAAGAACACCGGUGGCUAAGGCGGCUCUCUAGUACGGUACUGACGCUGAGACGCGAAAGCGUGGGGAGCGAACAGG